ACUGGAGUUUGACACCCCUGUAGGACAUAUUGGUGGGGACAUGUCCACACCAGUCCUUCAGGAAGUUACGCCUAUGGGUUCAACCAUUAUUGGGGCUCUUUGUUCAAAUACUGGUGUAUUUUCAUAAUUAAGGUCACAAUAAAGGAAGUUUCAGUGUGAGGAGAAAAGGACAUCUACAAAUGUUAAUUCUGUGGUUUCAUGUAUUUUUCACAAUAUUCACAUCCUUUGAACUUUUUUCACAUUGUCACAUUAGAAGCCCAAACUUUCACGUAUUUUAUGCGGAUUUCAUGUAUCAGACUCACAUGACAUGAUCCAAAUAAUAAAGUGGUUCUCAGUUCAUCUUUACAAUCAAUCGAUCAAUCAUCAAUCAAUCAAGUUUAUUCGUGUGACACAUUAUAGCAGCAAGGCGUUUUACAUAAUAAAUAAGCAACAUUUCAAAGUUAUAAAGAAUACACCAGACAGUCAACAGUUGAACAGACAUUGCAUUUUGAUGAGUGCCGUCGCCACAGUAACACACAUCAAAUAUGCUGGUAAACCUUUCAUCUGUCAUGGUUGAAAAGCAAUUAACUGCAAAUAAAAUACAAUUAGAAAUUUGUAGAGUGGUGUGCAGUAAAAAUGUAUUGCAAAUUUUUUGCCCAGGUCCCUCUUGAAAAUGAGAUCUAGAUCUCAACGGGGUUUACCUGAUUAAAUAAAGGAAACUGAAAAAUAUUCCACUGCUGCGGUUCCGGGUUUGGGGUUUGUUUCAUCCGUACAUGUGGAGACUGAAGUUUUUUCCAAUCUUUGCAAAAAAAAAAAAAAGAAAAAAAAGCACAAGUUCAUUAGCAGUAGAUGACAAACAUCUCUGAAUUUUAGUUUUCAAGUUUAGGCCUUCAGCUUGACCCAGCUUUGAUAGACAAGACCAGGUUUGAUAUGUGAAGCAGACCUCAGUUAAAGUCAUGACACAACAAUCGAGAUUGGAGAUUAAACACUAACAGAGCAUCUCAUAAAGCCUUUCAGAAAAGAGAUAAUUACACCAUCAGACAAAUAUAUUUGUGGUAAAUCCAUUAAAACUCAAGGGCUUAUGAGUUAUGUAGCAGCACAUAUUUCAGGAUAGUCAUGUUAUUAUUGUCACUUUAGGGGAAUUUUCCUUGCAGCAAGGUGGGAAUUUUUAAAACACAAACAGAAAGGCUGUUGUUGUGUUGUUGCUUACACAACAACAUUGACAAAACAGUAAAAAGUCUUUGCUGACAGGUGAUCCGACUGUGUCUCCAAUUAAGCAGCUUCAAGUUGUUGUUUUUUUUUUUUAGAAACUCUGAUGUUGGAAUCAGACUUUGAUAUACUGUGACUUUUAUAGGUCACCAUCAGCUAACACUUUCAGCUCUUCUCCUUUACUUACCGGAGUUGACUCUUCUGUUAGUACCAUUUCUCUUCAGUCCUUCACUUUUCAUGUUUGAAAAAAGGGGGAGCGAGUUAAACAUUUGUAUCAAAAACUCAUUUUGAGCUUAAAGUCUUUCACAUGACCAGUAUUUCAGUGUAUCUGAAGAGAGCGAAGUGUCAGAAGAAUGCUUCAGUUGUUAGCUUGCCCGCUCUCAGCACACGUCAACACCCCAGGCACACACACACCCACGCACACACACACACACGCCCACACACAGGUUGAUCAGCCUGCCGCUGGCCACGUCUCGGUCACACGCUCCCUUCCUGCCUGUGUGGAACGUGGGAGCUGCCGUGGUCCCAGGCUUCCCACACUUCAGCAUUAAUGACUCCAAGGCAGGCUGCACAAAGGAAGUGUGCCCCGUUGAACAAAGACCGAGUGACCAACCCACCCUUUAAACCACACACACACACACACACACACACACACGCACCAAGGAAGGCAAGGUUGUCAACAGAGCUUCCAGGCACACCAUCUGGAUGGAUCGAGUGCUUUUGUCGGUCAAUCAAGCAUGAGAGGCGCUCACCGUGAGAACUGGAGAGGCUGAAAUAGAGACGAGAAGUUAAAUGAGAAGAUCAAGUGUGUGUGUGAGCUGAGAAGCCUUCUAAUUUGCUUCAUCAAGAUGGUUUUUAGAAAUAAAUGUAGGAAAAAUUGGGCGUUUUUCUGAUUUGUAAAUAAUUGCUUUGCUAGAGGUCAAAUAAUCAACUAAACACCAAGAAGUUACUAUUUUAAAAACUUAGCAUGUCAUUCUUUACUAAAUAGACACUUGUAAAACAAAAUACACUGAGGAAAAAGUUUGUCCUCCACAUUCCCACCAAACAUCCUCCCAUAAUAAAGCAUCAUGGGAGCCACAAGAGGUUCCUGAAGGGCCCCUCCCAGCUGUUUCCUUCAGAUUGGGGCCUUUGUUUAUCAUCGUUCCAACUAAUUUAUUCACUUUCUAUUGUCACUGCGUUGCUUUUGUGAUUGGUCAAACGCGGUGAGAACCAGCAUGGCAUUAAAUGAGUGGGAAAGUUGGCGUGAAGAAGUAUUUAAAGGAGGAAAACCUUGUUGGUCAAAAUCAUAACCUUGAAAACCUCUUGAAGGCCCUGAGUGAGCGACCGUCAUGAGGAUCAGCGCACGGCCUUGUGUAAGAUGAGCCUUUUGGAAAGGAAGCACACAAACAAAGCAGCUCAGCUCAGCUCAGCUCUGGAGAGCCAGCUCUGUGCGGGGAUGAGCAGUCGGGGACGCCUGGGACAGGCUCCACUGAAACACUCUUCAUUUUCCAGAACGGCUUCACCCGAGCCUGCAGGGAAGUCAUGAGGCUGCUCCCUUUUCCCCCUGCUGAGGACGUGAUGGCGCUGUGCUGCCAGUCAUGAAUGGACAAACUGAUGGAUUAUGUAAAAAAUAUUUUAAAAAAUGGUGAUUUUGUUUGGAGCGUCCUUGAAGAUGUUUCACUCAGGGGAAAAAAAACCUUAUUUUUUAAAAAAUAUUAUUUUUAUUUAGGUUUAUUCACCUUAUUAGGUUUAAAUUGUGAAAAGCAUAAAAUAAAAUAAAACUCUGUGACUUUAGUGGUUCACAAAUGUGCAUUCUUUGUCUUAAGCGUCCUUUAAUGUGGACCGCGUCAUUAAGAUUGUUUGAUUUAAACUGAAAGCCAUAUUCUUUUGAUUAAAAGGGUAAUUUUUAUUUUACAGAAUGUUUCGAGACGGUGUUUAUAGUGUAUGAGACACGUUUUUGCCAAAACCCCCCAAAAAGAUGCAAAAUGAGCCAUCAUGUGCAGUUCUGUCUUUGUACUCGUUAUGGAGCGCUAGCUUUAAUCUGUUUAAGGUUAUCUUGAGCAGCUAAUUCUGAAGGUAAAGUUAAGAUUCACAUUUUUAUUUUUCCCAGAUGUCAUAUUUGACCUCAUCAUGAAUGUUGGAGUGUGUCGCCCUCUAGAGGUAGAAAUAGAGAAGUGACGUUGGGAUUCUAGUUUGGCAAAGUGUCUUGAUAACGUUAGCUUUUGAAAUGGCGCUAAAGUGAAUUAAAAUGAGUGGAAACGCCUCAGUGUGGUUUUCCCAGCUGUUGACUACCUACAGAGAAAACUACUUCUCAGUUGUGAUUAUUUGCAACAACUUGAUUGUCAGACGUAUAAAAAGACUUUCACUAACUGGACUUUUUUUUUUUAUGGUGGUACAAAUAGGAGGAGUAAAUACGUAAGGUGUAUUAAUUUAAAUAAAUGUGAUCCCAUCAACGUUACUGAACGUAAUGAUGGUUUGUCCACAUCCGUAAAUUAUUUCAGAUUAUGUUUAGGAGUUAUAAGUAAAUGUAGAAUACUGCGAAGAACUUCAAAUGAUCUUUCUACAGCAAUAAGCCACCAGGAGAGCAAAACAAAACACCCAGAGCCUAAAUAAAUAUUCAUUACUUCUGGAAUGUUUCUACAUUUUGUCACAACUGCAAACUUUAAUGUGUUUAAUUUGCAAUUUGAGGGAGAGAGAGAGAAAAACGUCUGUUCCACGUCACAAUUAAUUCCUUUACAAGUCUGAUAAAUGUGUGCAAAACGAACUCAGUCCAUCAUGAGUCAAUGCAAGAUGAAUAGAGUCAGUGGUUCUCAAGUUUGGCCGCACAGAUUCUCCCAUUCAUUAGAGGCCGCACUUUGACUGGGCCGUUAUGACCCAAGUUAGUGUUUGACAACACAUUUUGUAUGUGGGCCAAAAAGUUUAUUUUGGACUCAUCUGACUAGAGCAUCUCCUACCUUCUUCCAAAUAAAACACUGCUGACCUUAAACAAUGAUUUUCUUCUGGUCGCUCUUCCUUAAAGUAUUUGUUGAGUUCAUUACCAACACUUGUCCUAUCAGCAGCUCCCCCCACAUGAGCAGUGGAUCUCUGGAGAUCUAAAGAGGUAUCAUGUGUCUUCUGACAAAAAGUGAAAAGGUUUAAGGUCCAUGAAUAUUUGUGCAGUGCACUAUAUGCGGUGACAUAGCUCCGGUAUGAAAGGAUUUCUUUCUAAAUGUGCAAACAGCAGCCAAAACAGAAGAGGUUACCCUUGAAUCAGACUGAAAGUAUUACAGCUUUAUUAAUUAUACGCUAAAUUCAAAAAAAGCAGACAUUCAGCAACAGUUUAAACAUUGUAGCAUUGGGAAAAGCAAAUCAAUGAUGAACUGGGGAAAGUGUACACCAUGCAUUUAGAUCUGAAGAA